UUCUCUUCAGGAGGUGGCUACUGUCCAUGGGUCCUUUUGGCAAGCCUUCCGCAGUGCUGCAGCAAAAUUGAAGAUGACCAUUGAACACCUUAAAAAAGGUAAAUCAGCCUCCAACUCCAUCCCCUGCAGGCAUAGCCCACACCACACAGGCGGAUAUUCUGGUUGCUCAUAUGACAGUCCUGGCCCACAUUCACCCCAGCCUCUUCUGAGUUCUGUUUCUGGCUCUGCACUCAAAAGCAUCCUCUCUAGAUCUGACAGGGCCUACUCGUGAGGUGCUGACUCCUUAAAGGAUUGGUUGCCUGGGAUCUAAUCCCUCAAGGAUAAUGAAUACAAGGCUGGUUCUUCCUCAAGGCUUCUGUAUCGCUUCCACACUCCUCUUUCCACGGAUGGCUACCUUCAGGCCGUAAGCCUGACACUUGGCCUGGCUCCAUCCUUUGUAUGAAGUUCUGUGGACUUGGCCUUGCACCUUAGGAACAAUCUAUGAUGUUCCCAAAUGCUGUAUUAGGAGCCUAGGCCUGCUCUCCAGAGGAUAGGGUUCCCUGCCUGAAAUAUCUUCUGGAGGUGCUUUAGGUAGGUCUCUCUCAACUACCUGGGUCUUAAUGCCUUCUUUUUCUCCACAGCACAGGCCUGCAUCCCUCCUUGUGGUAAGGAAUUAGUUCCAAAUUCAAAACAGCAGGGGAAGCAUGGUAACCGGUGGAAACCUGGAACUUAAGACUGAGAGCAAUGAGUGGGUCUCAGAUCCCAAGGAACCCAAUAGAAAAGCACAAACUAGGUACUGUUCAAAAACUUAGAAGGAGCAGGCCCUGGUGGUUCAGGCCUGUCAUUCAGGAGCAUUACAUGUCCAAGGUCAGCUUGGGCUAAAGGAGUUCUAGUCCAUGCCUGGCAAUUUGGGGACCCUGACUCCAAACAAAAACUAAAAAGAAUGCUGAAACUACAGCUCAGUAAUGGGGUGCUUGCUUGGAAUACCCAGAGAGGGACUGGCGGUGUGGCUCAAGUCCCUUGCCUAGACUCUUCCAGAGGGGCUAGGAAAUGUAUGGUUUAGUGGAAUAGACUACUUGUCUAUAAUUCCCCACGUGGGAGAGCGGGAGUAUGUGUAAGUGGUAGAGAGCUUGUCUAGCAUGCAUAAAUCCCUAGGUUUCGUUCCCAGUGGCUAGAACACAAAACAUACAUUUAUGUAGCAAACUGGCUCAACUGACCAUACAAGCCAGAAGGUUAGCCAGGGCUCAACUGGACAGAGAGUAAUUUAGAUGGUGCGUUAAAGACUGGGUCUAUCUUCCACCUCCCCAAUAGAACCCUGCGAGUGCCCAUAGAUUAAAUAAGGUUCAGAGAUCGGGACCAGGGGGAGCCGAACACCACACUCCUGGUCUCCUUUCCCCAGGCGUCCAGGAGAAGGCUAGAAUUUUCCACUGCCGGGGCUGCUAUUCCACAAUCUGCGAUCUGCCCCUAGACUGUCCAGGUCCGGACUCGGGACGUUUCCUACUUCCGUGAUGUGCCGGGGGCUCACGGGUACCUGGCACGAAUUCGGCCAGUGCACCCCAGACACAGUGGGACCUUUUCCUGCGUGAUCCUGCACGACCAGCGCCCCCUGGCGCGGCUCUACUUCUAUCUGAACGGUACGGGCGGGGCGAGGAUGUGAGGUGGGGCCGAGGGCGGAGCUCUGCCCUCUAACGAGAGCGCUCCGGCAGUGACGGGCGGCCCUCCGCCCGAGGAGACCGAGCUCCAGGUCACGUUCCGGGAAGUGAUGCGUUGGAGACCGCAGGAGGAGGAAAUGAU